GACGAACGCUGGCGGCGUGCUUAACACAUGCAAGUCGAACGAAGAGCGAUGGAAGCUUGCUUCUAUCAAUCUUAGUGGCGAACGGGUGAGUAACGCGUAAUCAACCUUCCCUUCAGAGGGGGACAACAGUUGGUAACGACUGCUAAUACCGCAUACGAUCCAAUCUCGGCAUCGAGGAUGGAUGAAAGGUGGCCUCUAUUUAUAAGCUAUCACUGAAGGAGGGGAUUGCGUCUGAUUAGCUAGUUGGAGGGGUAACGGCCAACCAAGGCGAUGAUCAGUAGCCGGUCUGAGAGGAUGAACGGCCACAUUGGGACUGAGACACGGCCCAGACUCCUACGGGAGGCAGCAGGGGGGAAUCUUCCGCAAUGGACGAAAGUCUGACGGAGCAACGCCGCGUGAGUGAUGACGGCCUUCGGGUUGUAAAGCUCUGUUAAUCGGGACGAAAGGUCCUCUUGCGAAUAGUUAGAGGAAUUGACGGUACCGGAAUAGAAAGCCACGGCUAACUACGUG
rnacentral:rRNA from 1 species